rnacentral:lncRNA from 1 species
AAGGAGAUAUGGGAUUUACCUGGAAGAAGACAUCCACCCAAAAUGGGAUUGGAAUUCACAUUUUUUGAGGGCAUAUUGAAGAGAUACAGCAUGAGAACACACAGAUGUAAUGAUGCCUGCUUAGCAGUGAGGGUUUGGUCAGGGGGGAUAUGGGAGCAGGGAAAUCAGGAUGAGCCUGGUCACUGCUCCUCUCAGCAAAUCCCUCUCUGCCCCUUGGUACAGGUGGCAGCAUGAGCUCCCAGGACAUGUGCAGCUCCCCAGGGGAUCUCCGAGCUCCUGCUCUCCAAAUGAACUCAACUUCUGCUCAGCCAGGUACCACAGUUGUGCUCCAGUGUAUUCUCCCUGUGGUGUCACCCGUAAUACGAAUCAUCAUCUGCAAGGAUGGCAAGCAGCUGUACAGCGAGAAAGCCCAUCAAGGGCAGCUGAGCUACUCCGUGGUCCUGAACAUCACAUCAGGAAGCGCAGGAAGAUAUACAUGUGGGUACCAGCAGAGGAAUGAGAUGAAACAGAGGAGGAGCUCUGCCCUCAGUGCUGGCCGCAUCCUGAAUGUCCCUGGUGAGUCAUGGCCCUGGGCUGGAGGGGUGAGAAGGGACGGAGGCACUUGCCACCACAUGGCUGUGCUGAGG